rnacentral:rRNA from 1 species
UGACCUCGGAUCAGACGUGAUUACCCGCUGAACUUAAGCAUAUCACUAAGCGGAGGAAAAGAAACUAACAAGGAUUCCCUUAGUAACGGCGAGUGAACAGGGAUGAGCCCAGCACCGAAGCCUGUGGCCAUUUGGUUACUAGGCAAUGUGGUGUUUAGGUCGUUCCGCAGAGACACUGCUCCUCUCUAAGUCCAUCAAUGAGUACGGUUGUACUGACAUGGCCCACGGAGGGUGAAAGGCCCGUAAGAGAGGAGUUUUGGUGUGACAGUGUCUCUCUGGAUUGACCUUGGAGUCGGGUUGUUUGGGAAUGCAGCCCUAAGCGGGUGGUAAACUCCAUCCAAGGCUAAAUACAAGCACGAGUCCGAUAGCGAACAAGUACCGUGAGGGAAAGUUGAAAAGUACUUUGAAGAGAGAGUAAACAGUGCGUGAAACCGCUUAGAGGUAAACGGGUGGAGUUGAACUGCAAUCUUUGAGAAUUCAGCUGGGGAAUUUUGCUUGAGCUUGGUCAAUUGGGCAGGGCCUCGGGGUAUGCUUAGCUGCAUGUUCUGAUCUUCGGGUCGGAAUGCGCGUUGCUCUUAUCAAGGGCUGCGCGCCUCGGGUGUCCGGCUGGCUCAUUCGCCAGUGCACUUUCUCAGAGUGAUCACCACGACCGGCGCUGCUGCUUGGCUGUUUUAGUUAAACCGCACAUUCAUCGUCCUUGUGGCGUUGGGUGGACGACACGGCAGGUAACUGGGGGCUUGCUUCGGCUUGCUUCUCGGUGUAUGCUGGCUCUAACGGUUCUGUGCAGUGUGUCGGAGACGGCGGCUUGUGGUGUGUGCAUGCGUGCCUAUCUGUUGGCAUAUUCUGGUUUGGUGGCUGUGUGCUUGUUCAAGCAGGCCCAGUUAUAGCCGGGGUGUGUCAGUGGGUGGUUGCGUGUGUGUCACUUUUCAGGGCCUACAGUCUGUGGUGUUGUGGUAGACUAUCCACCUGACCCGUCUUGAAACACGGACCAAGGAGAGUAACAUGUGCGCGAGUCAUUGGGCGUAACGAAACCCACAGGCGCAGUGAAAGUAAAGGUCUGGCUUGUCCAGUCUAAGGUGAGAUCCUGUCGUUGUUCAUGCGCGGUACCACCAAGCUUGGAGCGAUAGGCGCAUCACCGGCCCGUCCCAUGACGUGGACAUAGUCUUCGGAUUGUGCGCCGUCGGGGCGGGGCAUGAGCGUACAUGUUGAGACCCGAAAGAUGGUGAACUAUGCUUGCGCAGGUUGAAGCCAGAGGAAACUCUGGUGGAGGACCGCAGCGAUUCUGACGUGCAAAUCGAUCGUCAAACGUGAGUAUAGGGGCGAAAGACUAAUCGAACCAUCUAGUAGCUGGUUCCCUCCGAAGUUUCCCUCAGGAUAGCAGCUGGGCUUUUCACUA